rnacentral:lncRNA from 1 species
UUAUGACAUGUGUUUCACUGAGGGACAGGCAACAUCCUUAUGCUAUGGACUGCAGGCCUACGCCGAGUCAUGUAUCAAUGCUGGAAUAUGUAUAGAGUGGAGAAAUGCUACUCUUUGCCCAAUAUCCUGUCCUGGAGGCAGCAUCUACAAAGGCUGUGGUACUAGGUGUCCCUCUACUUGUGUGAACUCCUCGGCUGCUAGUACCUGUAGUUCAUUGCCAGUGGAGGGUUGCUUCUGUAAGGAUGGCUAUGUUCUGAGUGGAGACACAUGUGUGCCAGAAAGCAACUGUGGUUGUGUUGAUGACAAAAACCACUAUCAUGAGCUGGGUGAAAGCUGGUUCACCAAUUAUUCCUGCACUGAACGCUGCACUUGCAAUGCUAAUAACAUGAUUGCUUGUUCAUCCUGGGAGUGUGGAGUACGAGAGGAAUGCAGUGUUAAGGAUGGUGUGCUGGGCUGUCAUUCCAGUGGCCAAGUAACGUGUCAGGUAGCAGGAGAUCCCCACUAUUUCAC